ACAAUAUUUUGCUGCCCAUAUUGUUCCUGGUUGUUAACAAUAUUGUUCACCAUUGUUCAGCUUGAACAAUAUUGUUACCAACCAGGAACAAUACGGGCAGCAAAAUAUUGUUC